AUGGUCUUCCGCUGAAAGGGUGCAGAAACAUGCUUCUAACACUCGCCUGAGGAUGGGGCCGCGUCCGAUCAGGUUGUUGGUGGGGUAACGGCUCACCAAGCCUAUAACCGGUACGGGCCCUGAGAGGGGGAGCCCGGAGAUGGGAACUGAGACAAGGUCCCAGGCCCUACGGGGCGCAGCAGGCGCGAAAACUCCGCAAUGCGCGAAAGCGUGACGGGGUCACUCCGAGUGCCGUCCGCUGAGGAUGGCUUUUCCUCGGUGUAAGGAGCCGAGGGAAUAAGAGGGGGGCAAGACUGGUGUCAGCCGCCGCGGUAAUACCAGCUCCUCGAGUGGUAGGGACGAUUAUUUGGCCUAAAGCGUUCGUAGCCGGCUUAGCAAGUCUCCCGUUAAAUCCGGCGACUUAAUCGCCGGACCGCGGGAGAUACUUCUAAGCUAGGGGACGGGAGAGGUCGACGGUAUUCCCGGGGUAGGGGCGAAAUCCUAUAAUCCCGGGAGGACCACCGGUGGCGAAGGCGGUCGACCAGAACGUGCCUGACGGUGAGGGACGAAAGCUGGGGGAGCAAACCGGAUUAGAUACCCGGGUAGUCCCAGCCGUAAACGAUGCGGGCUAGGUGUUGGAACGGCUACGAGCCGCUCCGGUGCCGCAGGGAAGCCGUUAAGCCCGCCGCCUGGGGAGUACGGCCGCAAGGCUGAAACUUAAAGGAAUUGGCGGGG
rnacentral:rRNA from 1 species